UUCAGCUGCAUGGAACCCUAGAAGUG
rnacentral:piRNA from 1 species